rnacentral:rRNA from 1 species
GACGAACGCUGGCGGCGUGCCUAAUACAUGCAAGUAGGACGCAGUUGCGAACGGGUGAGUAACGCGUAGGUAACUACCUAUUAGAGGGGUAUAACUCUUGGAAACGAUAGCUAAUACCGCAUACUAGUAGAUGGACAUGGUGUGUUUUAGCUAGUAGGUAGGGUAAUGGCCUACCUAGGCAACGAUACAUAGCCGCCCUGAGAGGGUGAUCUGCAACCCUGGGACUGAGACACGGCCCAGACUCCUACGGGAGGCAGCAGUAGGGAAUCUUCGGCAAUGGGGGGAACCCUGACCGAGCAACGCCGCGUGAGUGAUGAAGGUCUUCGGAUCGUAAAACUCUGUUAUUAGGGAAGCGGUACCUAAUCAGAAAGCCACGGCUAACUACGUGCCAGCAGCCGCGGUAAUAC